CACUUCGGUCCGGAGUUGAUGGGUUAUCUACGAAUCUUCUUCUGCUUGCAGAGGAAACCCGUUCUUCAGAUGCAAGUCUGUUGAACACCCCGCAGCCUUCAAACAGUUGCAAACCCUUCCCAUCAACACCAACUUGACCGUUGU
rnacentral:sRNA from 13 species